rnacentral:rRNA from 1 species
ACGUAGGCAGCGAGCGUUGUUCGGAGUUACUGGGCGUAAAGCGUGCGUAGGCGGUGGUCCAAGUCUGGUGUGAAAUCUCCCGGCUCAACUGGGAGGGUGCGCCGGAAACUGGGCCGCUGGAGUAUGGGAGAGGCAAGCGGAAUUCCAGGUGUAGCGGUGAAAUGCGUAGAUAUCUGGAGGAACACCCGUGGUGCAGACGGCUUGCUGGACCAUGACUGACGCUGAGGCACGAAAGCGUGGGUAGCAAACAGGA